GGGGAUGUAGCUCAGCCGGUUAGAGCGCCUGCCUCACAUGCAGGAGGUCUGCGGUUCAAGUCCGCACAUGCCCA
rnacentral:tRNA from 1 species